AAAUCUUUCAAGGAAAAAAAAAUGUAAUUUCUCAUUUGCUGUGGACAUGACCAUAAAAGAUUUUCCACCAGGCUUCCUCUGUUACCGUGCUAGCUUUCAGCCCAUUAGGAACAUUG